CAUGCGGCGUGCUUACCUGCAAGUCGAACGGAGAUUCAGCAAUGGAUCUUAGUGGCGAACGGGUGAGUAACGCGUAGGCAAUCUGCCUUCUAGAUGGGGACAACAUCCCGAAAGGGGUGCUAAUACCGAAUGUUGUACCGUUUCCGCAUGGAGAUGAUACUAAAGGUGGCCUCUGAAUAUGCUACCGCUAGAAGAUGAGCCUGCGUCUGAUUAGCUAGUUGGAGGGGUAACGGCCCACCAAGGCUUCGAUCAGUAGCCGGUCUGAGAGGAUGAACGGCCACACUGGGACUGAGACACGGCCCAGACUCCUACGGGAGGCAGCAGUGGGGAAUCUUCCGCAAUGGACGAAAGUCUGACGGAGCAACGCCGCGUGAGUGAAGAAGGUUUUCGGAUCGUAAAGCUCUUUCGUUAGGGACGAACGUGCUCUUUGUGAAUAAUGAGGAGUAAUGACGGUACCUAAAUAAGAAGCCACGGCUAACUACGUGCCAGCAGCCGCGGUAAUACGUAGGUGGCAAGCGUUGUCCGGAAUUAUUGGGCGUAAAGCGCGCGCAGGCGGGAUAUCAAGUCUGUCUUAAAAGUGCGAGGCUCAACCUCGUGAGGGGACGGAAACUGGUAUUCUUGAGUGUCGGAGAGGAAAGUGGAAUUCCAAGUGUAGCGGUGAAAUGCGUAGAGAUUUGGAAGAACACCAGUGGCGAAGGCGACUUUCUGGACGAUGUCUGACGCUGAGGCGCGAAAGCUAGGGGAGCGAACGGGAUUAGAUACCCCGGUAGUCCUAGCCGUAAACGAUGGGUACUAGGUGUAGGGGUAUCGACCCUCCUGU
rnacentral:rRNA from 1 species